GUGCUCUAUUUGGCAGCGCGCAUAUGAAAACUAGAAAGAUAGAGAGAUUAACAUGGCUCCUGUGCAAGGAUGACAUGAAAAUUCAGCUAGGGCCAGUUUGCAUUU